rnacentral:lncRNA from 1 species
AGGCUGUGUUUAGGGGGUUCCAAGUAAGAAGACAGUACCAGAAGAUAACAUGGUCGGUGGGAGUUCUUGAGAAGGCGAUUCUGAGGUGGAGACUCAAGAGAAGAGGAUUCAGAGGGCUUCAGGUUAGCCAACCUGAGGAGAAGGAAGGCACUGAAGCGGUGGAGGAUUUCUACAAGACAAGCCAGAAACAAGCAGAGGAUCGGCUAGAGAGAUCAGUGGUUCGAGUCCAGGCCAUGUUCCGGUCCAAGAAGGCUCAGCAAGAUUACAGAAGGAUGAAACUGGCUCAUGAAGAAGCUCAGGUGAAAUUACUUUUGUUUCUUUCUAUUUUCUUAACUCACUACAUAUAAUCUAUUUCAAAAACAUGACACAAUUUCACUUAUAAAUAAUGUGUAACAUGUGACACAGCUGGGUAUGAUGUGAUGCAAGAGCUUGAUCAGAUGGCAUGGAGAGCUGAAUUUCAUAGUAAGGAGAAGUGUUGUGGUACUAUUAGUAAAUAUGUGUAAAUGACAAGGGGUAAUUUCGUCUUUUUGAAGCUGUUUUCAGAAAAGAAGUUUCAACGGUAUCAUGGUAAGAUCAAUCCUGGAGGUGGGAGAUUUUGCUUAGAGAUGUCUUGUCAUAAGUCUUUGUUUGGUAGACGGUGUUAGUUUUUGUAAUGCGUUAUGUGACUUAUAUGUUCAAUAACAAUAUAUAAGAUAUAAUAAGAAGACAAAGAAAAAGGCAAAAUACGUGAAAUCCAGAGUAUACAACUGCACAUCGUCUUCCACAAAACUUUUGUUACAGGCUGAUCUCGAAUUCUUGGUGCUUACACCUUGUGCCGAUGUUGAGUUGGACUUCGAGAUGAAAUAAAUAGGAGUUCCUUGCUUCUAAUCGAGAUUUGAUUUCUAUAGAUUAGAGAACGAAAAUGUAGAUUCUUGUAUUUUUUACCUUGCCUGCUCUAAUCAGUUUGCAACAACUCAAGACAGCGUUCUAUGUGCAUGAACUGAAGUCUUAGCGCAUUUUAAGUGGGAGAUUCUUCCCAAAUUACUCCACCAAAAGAUAUAUUAAAAAAAUUAAAAGCAUGAAAGAAAAAGUAAAAUUGUAGAGAAACUUAGGACUUUAAUCUAUUAUGGAACAAAAGGAUGAAAAAAAUACGGCACCAUCUAAAAUAAUCUCCCAUAGGACAAGGAAGUGGUUAAUGACAAUUUGCCCCAUUAAUGAAAUCAAUAUGAACCCUUAGAUCAGAAUUCUAUGGGAUAUAACGUGAGCCGUCGGAUCAUUAGAAGAAAAUAGAUCAAUAUUUAGAAGAAUGCCAUUAAUGAAACUCUCCCUUAAGCCGUCGGAUUUUCUGUCUUUGUUUUAAUCUUGGCCUUCAGAUCUCACAUCCAAACUCUUCUCUCUCGUCUGGGUCCCACAGAUGCAUUAAUCUUUUUUCUUCUUCUUCAUUUCUCCUACAACCAUACUCAACUACCACGGAAAUUCAUUCUCCUCACCAACAAAAGUUUUCUUCUUCAACUUUUCAUCCACAAACCUUCACCUCUGUUUCUUGGGGAUUUUCGACAGGUUAGGACGCCGUGAAACAGGUCAUGUACGUCGUCCUUAGUUCUGAAAUCGGUUGAUAAGUGUAAACUCUCUCCUUCUCUCUCUCUCUUCUGUUUCUCUCUCUCUCUCUCUCUCUUUAUUGUUGUUUGUUUCGGUUUAGUCAUAUAAACUGUGUGUUAACCAUAUGAGUCAGAUUAUAAAGUUUAAUAUAAUUUGGUUAAAGUAUGAAGCAUGAUAUUGUAGAAUAAAUCAUUUUUGUCUAUGGUACAAUAGGUACAACUAGGUACAACUCUAGUAAAAUGGAAAGUAGUAAAACUGGCAGAACUAGUAUUACUGAUAUUAUUCAUCUGAAACAUACCACUAGUAAACCUGGUAAAACUUGGAGUAACACAUUGAAUAGAUAGUAUUGGUACCACUCGUAUAAAUUAUAGUAGUCAUGGGCAAAGUUGACAUAGUAUAACUGGUCUUACUAGUAUAACUGAUAACUAUUGUUACAUGUAAACUAGUCUAAUUGAUAAUAUUAGUAUAACUGAACUAACUUAUUAAUGAUAAUUUUGGUUUUUAGUCAUUUUCAGGAACUAUGGAUAGUAAUGGGUCUGUGGUGAUACAUUUUGAACAUGGUGAAGAGCAACAUAUUUCUACACUAGUGAUGAAAGGAAGAUAUGAGGAGAUUACUUAUUCUCAGUUGGUUGAUAGAAUAGCCAAGAAAAUGAAGAUCGAUGUAGUUGAGACGAAGCUUCAGUUGAGUUACUUUCCGCUGGUAUUGAAUAAUAAGAGGCCUUGUUAUAUCUUGGAUGAUGAAGAUGUUUUAGGAUAUUUAAUGAAGGUAGAUAAGAAAAACCGACGUAGUGUCUUGCGUGUGGAGCUUAAGGAAAUCGUCGCAGAAAAUCAGAGCAACAAGAUGUUUUCUAUGAAUGAGGAAAAUUACACGAGGUUCUUUUGCAUAUCCUCUUUUCGUUUUAUUAACUUCUUUUCCAUGUUUUACUCUUUGAAAGGGAGAAAAUGGUGGCUGCUCUUCUGUCUGCCGGGGCAAGGCCUAACUUGGUGACAGACCCGACUAAGGAAUACCUCGGCGGCUGCACAGCGGCUGAUAUUGCACAGCAGAAAGGUUACGAGGGUUUAGCAGCUUUUCUUGCAGAGAAAUGUCUUGUAGCACAGUUCAGAGACAUGAAAAUGGCUGGAAACAUCAGUGGUAACCUUGAGGGCGUCAAAGCAGAGACGUCAACAAACCCAGGGCAUUCAAAUGAAGAGGAGCAGAGCCUGAAGGACACUCUGGCGGCAUACAGAACCGCUGCAGAGGCGGCUGCACGGAUCCAGGGGGCCUUCAGAGAGCACGAGCUCAAAGUCAGGUCAAAGGCGGUGCGGUUUGCUAGCAAAGAAGAAGAGGCCAAAAACAUAAUAGCCGCUAUGAAGAUUCAGCAUGCGUUUCGAAAUUACGAGACUCGUAGGAAGAUUGCAGCCGCUGCUCGGAUUCAGUACAGGUUCCAAACAUGGAAAAUGAGGCGGGAGUUUUUGAACAUGCGGAAAAAGGCAAUUAAGAUCCAGGUAAAAAAAGAUUAUAUCGCCAUCAAACUCUGCAAGACUGCUCUUUGCUGCUUUAGAAUACACUAAAGAUGAAUUUGUUUUAUGGUGGUGCAGGCUGUGUUUAGGGGGUUCCAAGUAAGAAGACAGUACCAGAAGAUAACAUGGUCGGUGGGAGUUCUUGAGAAGGCGAUUCUGAGGUGGAGACUCAAGAGAAGAGGAUUCAGAGGGCUUCAGGUUAGCCAACCUGAGGAGAAGGAAGGCACUGAAGCGGUGGAGGAUUUCUACAAGACAAGCCAGAAACAAGCAGAGGAUCGGCUAGAGAGAUCAGUGGUUCGAGUCCAGGCCAUGUUCCGGUCCAAGAAGGCUCAGCAAGAUUACAGAAGGAUGAAACUGG